UUAGUAUGUUGCAAAUAUUUUUAUAUAUUUUGUUUUAGUAUGUAUGCUUUAAACAUUCUGCAACUUUGAUAACAAAAAUCCAUUCCACAGAGUUUAUUUGUGAUAAUUAUUGCCAACACAUAAAUGUAGCAAAUAUUAAUGAAGCUAUGGCAUCAAAUGUAAUGUCAACACGAAAAUGCUCAAAUCUCAAGUCAAAUGGUUUAUCAAAGUCUGAGUCUGCUGUGAAUUCAAUUAAAUGUCAUGAAAUGUCAAAUCUCAAGACAUAAAAGUUUUAAUGGAGUUUUGGUCCAUAAUAAUCCAAGUACCACAUGUUUUAAUAAAUAUAUUUUUAAAACGGAUGCAAGCACUUAAGAAAAUAAUUAUCUUACAAAUUGAAGUAGAAGUUUAUAACGAAUCUUGUUGACGGUUAGAUACGAAUUGCAGAAAAGCAUCUUUUUCGAAUGGUUAUGAAUUAAUUAUUUGUAUAAUA